rnacentral:rRNA from 1 species
CUACGGGUCGCAGCAGUAGGGAAUAUUGGUCAAUGGACGCAAGUCUGAACCAGCCAUGCCGCGUGCAGGAUGACGGCCCUCUGGGUUGUAAACUGCUUUUAUAUGGGAAGAAACCCCGGGAUGCGUUCCGGGCUGACGGUACCAUACGAAUAAGGAUCGGCUAACUUCGUGCCAGCAGCCGCGGUAAGACGAAGGAUCCAAGCGUUGUCCGGAUUUACUGGGUUUAAAGGGUGCGUAGGCGGAUGCUUAAGCCAGUGGUGAAAUCUCUCAGCUCAACUGAGAAACUGCCAUUGGAACUGGGCAUCUUGAAUUCGAUUGAGGUAGAUGGAAUAUAACAUGUAGCGGUGAAAUGCUUAGAUAUGUUAUGGAACACCGAUUGCGAAGGCAGUCUACUAAGUCGAUAUUGACGCUGAGGCACGAAAGCGUGGGUAGCGAACAGGAUAGAUACCCUGGUAGUC